AACGAACGCUGGCGGCAGGCUUAACACAUGCAAGUCGAACGGACGUAGCGAUACGUUAGUGGCGCACGGGUGAGUAACGCGUGGAUAUCUGCCUUUUGGUUCGGGAUAACCUUGGGAAACUAGGGCUAAUACCGAAUGGUUCCUACGGGAUAAAGAUUUAUCGCCAAAAGAUGAGUCCGCGUCCGAUUAGCUGGUUGGCGGGGUAAUGGCCCACCAAGGCGACGAUCGGUAGCUGGUCUGAGAGGACGAUCAGCCACACUGGGACUGAGACACGGCCCAGACUCCUACGGGUGGCAG
rnacentral:rRNA from 1 species